GUUUCUGUAGUGUAGCGGUUAUCACGUUCGCCUCACACGCGAAAGGUCCCCGGUUCAAUCCCGGGCAGAAACA